UCAGGAUGAACGCUAGCUACAGGCUAACACAUGCAAGUCGAGGGCAGCAGUGGGAUUAGCUGCUAAUCCUGAUGGCGACCGGCGCACGGGUGAGUAACGCGUAUCCAACCUUCCCCUUACUCAGGGAUAGCCCGGUGAAAACCGGAUUAACACCUGAUGGUUUCAUUAGAUGGCAUCUGACGAUGAAUAAAGGCUUACGGUAAGGGAUGGGGAUGCGUCUGAUUAGCUUGUUGGCGGGGUAACGGCCCACCAAGGCUACGAUCAGUAGGGGUUCUGAGAGGAAGGUCCCCCACAUUGGAACUGAGAUACGGUCCAAACUCCUACGGGAGGCAGCAGUGAGGAAUAUUGGUCAAUGGGCGAGAGCCUGAACCAGCCAAGUAGCGUGCAGGAUGACGGCCCUAUGGGUUGUAAACUGCUUUUGUACGGGAAUAAAGUCAUCCACGUGUGGAUGUUUGCAUGUACCGUAAGAAUAAGGACCGGCUAAUUCCGUGCCAGCCGCUGC
rnacentral:rRNA from 1 species